UAGGAUUCAGUAGAUUCCUUCCUUCAUUUCUUUCCUUUGUAUGACCACCUCCCCUUCCCAGUGCAAGACUGGAGGUUUACUCUUGAGAGGUGUUGAACCUAAGGGACUUUGAACUUGGGUGGGAGAGGCAAACUGAAAAAUAGGAGGUUUAGGCCGGGCUCAGUGGUGCAUGCCUGUAAUCCCAGUUCGGGAGGCCGCAGCAGGCAGAUCUCGAGGAUAAGAGAUAGAGACUAUCCUGGCCAACAUGGUGAAACCCUGUCUCUACUAAAAAA